rnacentral:rRNA from 1 species
GGCGAACGCUGGCGGCGUGCUUAACACAUGCAAGUCGAACGGAAAGGCCCUGCUUUUGUGGGGUGCUCGAGUGGCGAACGGGUGAGUAACACGUGAGUAACCUGCCCUUGACUUUGGGAUAACUUCAGGAAACUGGGGCUAAUACCGGAUAGGAGCUCCUGCCGCAUGGUGGGGGUUGGAAAGUUUCGGCGGUUGGGGAUGGACUCGCGGCUUAUCAGCUUGUUGGUGGGGUAGUGGCUUACCAAGGCUUUGACGGGUAGCCGGCCUGAGAGGGUGACCGGCCACAUUGGGACUGAGAUACGGCCCAGACUCCUACGGGAGGCAGCAGUGGGGAAUAUUGCACAAUGGGCGGAAGCCUGAUGCAGCAACGCCGCGUGCGGGAUGACGGCCUUCGGGUUGUAAACCGCUUUCGCCUGUGACGAAGCGUGAGUGACGGUAAUGGGUAAAGAAGCACCGGCUAACUACGUG